CCAUAGGUUAAUGAGGCGAACCGGGGGAACUGAAACAUCUAAGUACCCCGAGGAAAAGAAAUCAACCGAGAUUCCCCCAGUAGCGGCGAGCGAACGGGGAGCAGCCCAGAGCCUGAAUCAGUGUGUGUGUUAGUGGAAGCGUCUGGAAAGGCGCGCGAUACAGGGUGACAGCCCCGUACACAAAAAUGCACAUACUGUGAGCUCGAUGAGUAGGGCGGGACACGUGGUAUCCUGUCUGAAUAUGGGGGGACCAUCCUCCAAGGCUAAAUACUCCUGACUGACCGAUAGUGAACCAGUACCGUGAGGGAAAGGCGAAAAGAACCCCGGCGAGGGGAGUGAAAAAGAACCUGAAACCGU
rnacentral:rRNA from 1 species